UACAGGGGGGGCAAGCGUUGUUCGGAAUUACUGGGCGUAAAGGGCUCGUAGGCGGCCAACUAAGUCACACGUGAAAUCCCCAGGCUCAACCUGGGAACUGCGUGUGAUACUGGAUGGCUUGAAUUCGGGAGAGGGAUGCAGAAUUCCAGGCGUAGCGGUGAAAUGCGUAGAUAUCUGGAGGAACACCGGUGGCGAAGGCGGCAUCCUGGACCAACAUUGACGCUGAGGAGCGAAAGCGUGGGGAGCAAACAGG
rnacentral:rRNA from 1 species